rnacentral:rRNA from 1 species
UACGGAGGAGGCAAGCGUUAUCUGGAAUUAUUGGGCGUAAAGCGUCCGCAGGUGGCUAUUCAAGUCUGCGGUCAAAGACUGGGGCUUAACCCUGGAAAGGCCGUGGAAACUGAAGAGCUAGAGUGCAGUAGGGGUAGAGGGAAUUCCCGGUGUAGCGGUGAAAUGCGUAGAGCUCGGGAAGAACAUCGGUGGCGAAAGCGCUCUGCUGGACUGCAACUGACACUCAGGGACGAAAGCUAGGGGAGCGAAUGGG